GGGGUCAUGCAAUCUAGAGAUUAGACGUUCCCUUCGGGGACAUGGAUACAGGUGGUGCAUGGUUGUCGUCAGCUCGUGUCGUGAGAUGUUGGGUUAAGUCCCGCAACGAGCGCAACCCUUAUUAUCAGUUGCCAGCAUUAAGUUGGGCACUCUGGUGAGACUGCCGGUGACAAACCGGAGGAAGGUGGGGAUGACGUCAAAUCAUCAUGCCCCUUAUGACCUGGGCUACACACGUGCUACAAUGGAUGGUACAACGAGUUGCGAACUCGCGAGAGUAAGCUAAUCUCUUAAAGCCAUUCUCAGUUCGGAUUGUAGGCUGCAACUCGCCUACAUGAAGUCGGAAUCGCUAGUAAUCGCGGAUCAGCAUGCCGCGGUGAAUACGUUCCCGGGUCUUGAACACACGCA
rnacentral:rRNA from 1 species